UACGAAGGGGGCUAGCGUUGCUCGGAUUGACUGGGCGUAAAGGGCGCGUAGGCGGUUCGUACAGUCAGACGUGAAAUUCCUGGGCUCAACCUGGGGGCUGCGUUUGAUACGUGCGGACUUGAGUGCGGAAGAGGGUCGUGGAAUUCCCAGUGUAGAGGUGAAAUUCGUAGAUAUUGGGAAGAACACCGGUGGCGAAGGCGGGUCUCUGGGCCGAAAUUGACGCUGAGGAGCGAAAGCGUGGGGAGCAAACAGG
rnacentral:rRNA from 1 species